UAGGGAAUCUUCGGCAAUGGGGGCAACCCUGACCGAGCAACGCCGCGUGAGUGAAGUAGGUUUUCGGAUCGUAAAACUCUGUUGGUAGAGAAGAACGUUGGUGAGAGUGGAAAGCUCAUCAAGUGACGGUAACUACCCAGAAAGGGACGGCUAACUACGUGCCAG
rnacentral:rRNA from 1 species